UACGUAGGGUGCGAGCGUUAAUCGGAAUUACUGGGCGUAAAGCGUGCGUAGGUGGUUCGUUAAGUCUGUCGUGAAAGCCCCGGGCUCAACCUGGGAAUGGCGAUGGAUACUGGCGGGCUAGAGUGCGGUAGAGGAGAGUGGAAUUCCCGGUGUAGCAGUGAAAUGCGUAGAGAUCGGGAGGAACAUCAGUUGCGAAGGCGGCUCUCUGGACCAGCACUGACACUGAGGCACGAAAGCGUGGGGAGCAAACAGG
rnacentral:rRNA from 1 species